rnacentral:rRNA from 1 species
AGAACGAACGCUGGCGGCAUGCCUAACACAUGCAAGUCGAACGAGACCUUCGGGUCUAGUGGCGCACGGGUGCGUAACGCGUGGGAAUCUGCCCUUGGGUUCGGAAUAACAGCGAGAAAUUGCUGCUAAUACCGGAUGAUGACGUAAGUCCAAAGAUUUAUCGCCCAAGGAUGAGCCCGCGUAGGAUUAGCUUGUUGGUGAGGUAAGAGCUCACCAAGGCGACGAUCCUUAGCUGGUCUGAGAGGAUGAUCAGCCACACUGGGACUGAGACACGGCCCAGACUCCUACGGGAGGCAGCAGUGGGGAAUAUUGGACAAUGGGCGAAAGCCUGAUCCAGCAACGCCGCGUGAGUGAUGAAGGCCUUAGGGUGUAAAGCUCUUUACCGGAUGAUAAUGACAGUACCGGAGAAUAAGCUCCGACUAACUCCGUGACCAGCAGCCGC